rnacentral:snoRNA from 1 species
CUGGAAUGAUGAGAUUCCACUUCAUCGGUCCGUGUUUCUGAAACACAUGAUUUUGUGGAAGUUCUGACUUG